GCUGUGUUGAUAAGGAAGAUUGUGAAUGCUUCAACUGGUAUUUUAUAUAUAUACAUAGGUAUACAAUCGUAUUACUACGUCUUUCUGUAUUCUACAUUGGCUAGAUGUGUAGAGGAGGUUGAGAUCACAUAAAACAUGUUUCACCCCGCCGCAUCUUUGCGCCUGUCCCAAUUUAGGAGCCUCUGGCCUUUGAUAAUCUUGUAUGUUUUUUUUUUUUUUAUUUUAGUUCAUUUGUAUGUUUUGAAGUCCAUUUUCACUGAACUGAUACACUAUUUUAUUUAUGUGCCAGCUAAGGACCACCUCGGUUGUUGUCUAAUCUUUGGUCGGUUUGUUGUCUCUUUGAAAAUUCCCAAUUUCUAUUCUCAAUUUUAUGCAUAUAAAGGGGGUCACAAUUGAAAGAAAAACAUAAAUGUGCUAGUUUUAAUUAGAUAGCACAUAAAUUGGGUUACAACAAUGACUCAUAUUUGAAAUUUGAAAUGUUAAGAUAUUCAAGGUUUUUAUGUAGUGUUGCAUUACAGCAUUCUAUUUGACUAUUUUAACUAGUUUAUACAAUUUGAUGUGAAUCAUGACCAGAAGGUUACAUUCUUAGAGACAAAUUACAUACUUCUUUUUAUGUUAUACAAGUCUUAAACAGUGAGAUUGCAUUACAAAA
rnacentral:lncRNA from 1 species